rnacentral:rRNA from 1 species
AUUGAACGCUGGCGGCAGGCCUAACACAUGCAAGUCGAGCGGAUGAAGGGAGCUUGCUCCUGGAUUCAGCGGCGGACGGGUGAGUAAUGCCUAGGAAUCUGCCUGGUAGUGGGGGAUAACGUCCGGAAACGGGCGCUAAUACCGCAUACGUCCUGAGGGAGAAAGUGGGGGAUCUUCGGACCUCACGCUAUCAGAUGAGCCUAGGUCGGAUUAGCUAGUUGGUGGGGUAAAGGCCUACCAAGGCGACGAUCCGUAACUGGUCUGAGAGGAUGAUCAGUCACACUGGAACUGAGACACGGUCCAGACUCCUACGGGAGGCAGCAGUGGGGAAUAUUGGACAAUGGGCGAAAGCCUGAUCCAGCCAUGCCGCGUGUGUGAAGAAGGUCUUCGGAUUGUAAAGCACUUUAAGAUGGGAGGAAGGGCAGUAAGUUAAUACCUUGCUGUUUUGACGUUACCAACAGAAUAAGCACCGGCUAACUUCGUG